rnacentral:rRNA from 1 species
UACGAAGGGGGCUGGCGUUGCUCGGAAUCACUGGGCGUAAAGCGCACGUAGGCGGACUCUUAAGUCGGUGGUGAAAUCCUGGAGCUCAACUCCAGAACUGCCUUUGAUACUGGCGACCUUGAGUCCGGGAGAGGUGAGUGGAACUGCGAGUGUAGAGGCGAAAUUCGUAGAUAUUCGCAAGAACACCAGUGGCGAAGGCGGCUCACUGGCCCGGUACUGACGCUGAGGUGCGAAAGCGUGGGGAGCAAACAGG